CCCUUAGAUGUUCUGGGCUGCACGCGCGCUACACUGACGCACGCAACAGGUGCCUGCUCCGAGAGGACUGGGUAAUCAUUUGAGUGUGCGUCGUGAUGGGGAUAGAAUAUUGUAAUUAUUACUCUUCAACGAGGAAUUCCUAGUAAGCGCCAGUCAGCAGCUUGCGCUGAUUACGUCCCUGCCCUUUGUACACACCGCCCGUCGCUCCUACCGAUGGGUGAUCCGGUGAAUGAUUCGGACUUCAGCGGCUCCCCUGGGGUGCGCCGGAGAAAGUUUUGUGAACCUUAUCACUUGGAGGAAUGAGAAGUCGUAACA
rnacentral:rRNA from 1 species